CAGAACCUCUCACAGUGCCACAAAACAGUAAUGAAGAUGAUGUCCAAAGAGAAGAGGAGCAACCAGAACCUCUCACAGUGUUACUGGAAAACAACCAAGAUGCCAGCCAAACAGAAGAGCAAAGAACAGAAUCUUUCACAAUGGUACAG